CGCUGGCGGCAGGCCUAACACAUGCAAGUCGAACGGAUCCUUUCGGGAUUAGUGGCGGACGGGUGAGUAACACGUGGGAACGUGCCCUUUGGUUCGGAACAACUCAGGGAAACUUGAGCUAAUACCGGAUAAGCCUUUCGAGGGAAAGAUUUAUCGCCAUUGGAGCGGCCCGCGUAGGAUUAGCUAGUUGGUGGGGUAAAGGCCCACCAAGGCUACGAUCCUUAGCUGGUCUGAGAGGAUGAUCAGCCACAUUGGGACUGAGACACGGCCCAAACUCCUACGGGAGGCAGCAGUGGGGAAUCUUGCGCAAUGGGCGAAAGCCUGACGCAGCCAUGCCGCGUGAAUGAUGAAGGUCUUAGGAUUGUAAAAUUCUUUCACCGGGGACGAUAAUGACGGUACCCGGAGAAGAAGCCCCAGCUAACUUCGUGCCAGCAGCCGCGGUAAUACGAAGGGGGCUAGCGUUGCUCGGAAUCACUGGGCGUAAAGCGCACGUAGGCGGGUCUUUAAGUCGGAGGUGAAAUCCUGGAGCUCAACUCCAGAACUGCCUUCGAUACUGAGGAUCUCGAGUCCGGGAGAGGUGAGUGGAACUGCGAGUGUAGAGGUGAAAUUCGUAGAUAUUCGCAAGAACACCAGUGGCGAAGGCGGCUCACUGGCCCGGUACUGACGCUGAGGUGCGAAAGCGUGGGGAGCAAACAGGAUUAGAUACCCUGGUAGUCCACGCCGUAAAAGAUGAAUGCUA
rnacentral:rRNA from 1 species